UCACCUCCCUCGACCUGCUGGCCAUGCUUCUUUGAUGCAGCCCAGGGUACAGCUGGCUUUCUGGGCUGCAAAUACUAAGACUAUAUCUGAAUGUUCACAAAGUAAAGAGGUCUUUGGAACACCUCCGACUGAAUGCUAUUAAAAUCUUAAACCUAUUUGCCCAGUUGGGAUGACUUGUUAAUUAGGUAGACCUGGGCAAGAAUUUUCUGACACCAUCCAUUUCUAACAGAAAGGAAUUUUGACAAAGUCAAAGUAUUAUGUUUUUAACAAUCCAAUGUUCUAACUUUUUAUUAAAAAUGUAACAAUGUUAAGUGUCUUUUAGACUAUGUUAAGAGUGUGAAAAUAAUCAAAUUUAUCAGUGAGACAGAAAAUCCAGCUCCUAACCGAAUCUACAGUCCAGGAUUUCUGGACUGAUAUAUUUCUCUACAGAACACUGAAAAUAAUCUAUUUACUGACAGAACACAUUAUUUUCUUUAGCAUUUUCUUUUAUGUUCUUUAGCAUAAUGUUUAGUGUUGUUUAACUUUUUGUUAUUUGUUAUUUGAAUAAAAAAAAUUGUCUUCAUGAAACAAACAAAUACAAAUUGUUAAUGUGUUUAUUACACUUUUUUAAGUUCCCCUCUAUCUUAAAAAAGUCAGACAAGUGAAAUGAUAAAAAAAUAUAGGCACUUUGCCUCUGAAUUUCCAUUAUUAGCAGAAGAUUCAUUAACUUGAUUAAUGCAAGUACUGUAAUAUUGCAAGGGUUUUUUUCAAUUCUGUCUGGUUUUGGAGGCCUUGCAUUUCAGAUGACCUAAAAAUAGGAUAUUACAGCACAGAUCAUGCUACACAAACAGAUAUCAAAGAAAUACCAGAAUUAAAGGAGCUAGCUAUUGCUACGCAAGCUUUAAUCAAGGUAAAUUUGGAAAGUAUCAUAACAGAUACUUUCUGUACAUACAGACAGAGUUGUCUUCAUGCUCUAGAACGUGUACUUUUGUCACUGUCAUCUCUGUUUUGUGUAAUUCUUAAGGAAUCUGUUUUGGCUUUUCUUCUGUCUUCAUAUACCUAUUUCAGCUAAAUUAUAUAAAUUUCUGUUUUCAAAAUAGAAUAAUAUACAAGUAUUGAUAGAUGAAUUAGGGACUGGAUUGCUUGGCUAUCUGAAUCAGAGGAAAUUAUGUAGGGAUUAACAUUGUUUAAUGUACAAAAAAAGUUAAACAUAAGUGAAAAUUCUGAAGGUUUAAACUUAUCUAAUAGUGGCUAAGAGUCUGGAAUUAAAUGUGGGCCUGUCAGUUCCAUUGAUACUUGCCUGAUACCAGUUAUGAGUAUGGCUAAGGAGACCUCACACAUCUGAUCAAGGAGAUUAAAUAAAAUCACAUACAAAAGCAAAUUAGAAAGAAGAUCCAAAUGUGUUAUUGAUUAUUUGCACAAUUAUAUGUGUAUCUUCAGCAGUGUCUCACUGAAAUUUAAUGCAUAGACUUGGGAGGGAGGGUGCAGUACAUAAGGGGGCACAGUGCAGUCUGCUUAACGUAAAUGCCUUAGCAACUUGUGGUGGAAGACUGGUGCCUCUAGAGACCUGCAGAGGGAGGUCUGUUCCAUCAGAAUGAGGUGUUUCUUUCUGUCCCUUUACUGUGUAAGAAAUUAGGAAGGAAGGUGCUUCAGGAUAUAAAAUAAUUACGUGCACAAAAAAGUUAAUUUCCUAGGAAAAAAACCUUUUCUUUUUAGUUCUUUGGUGGUAUAUAUAGAGAUAAGAACUAAAAUUAAAUCCUUUUGGUACUAUUUUUAGAAGCAAUAUCUCAUUCUACCUCACAUCCCUGAAAGACUUCAGAGUAUUUUGCUUGUCUGAGCCACUGGCAAGCAGAAUGUUUUUCCUUUAACACUUCGUCUGUCACUUCUUGCUAAAAUGCAGUUAUUUUUAUUCUUUUUACCAUAAAAAUACUUUGCAGAGUGUUGAAUUAGGGUUUACCAUAAAAAUACUUUGCAGAGUGUUGAAUUAGGAUUUAUAAACAAGUUUUGACCACUUUCUGAGCUUACAUUUUGAUAUUUGUAUUGAUACAUAUGUGUGGGUCUCCUUUGCAGAAUCUGACUAGUUACCAUCUGGCAGAUACUUGUGUCUUCCUAAAUUAGGGGGUUUUUUUGAGAAAGCUAGAUAUUUUUCUUGCAUAAAUAUUCUCUGCCUGUCAAAUAUUGAAUCCAAAUCUCUUUACAGUACGCAGUACUGAAGGUUUGGAGAGGGGGAGUUUUUACUUUAACAGAGAACACUUUGUACAUCUGGAUACAAAGUGUAUUUAUAUUGAGGGUCCAUUCUCAUGCUUUCCUUGCCUGGGACUACUGAAAUAGAUGCUUAAUAUUGUACAUUCAGAUCUUCCAUUUCAUGAGUUACAGUUUCCUUAAUGUCAGUUUUAAAAUUUUAUCAUCCACAGGACUGAUACAAUGGACCGGUGCUUACAACAAGCAUUACAAAGAUGUCAUUGAUACUUCUGACAUGGCAAUAUAUAUUCAUUUUGGCACAUUUUUAUAAUUUAUGUUUUGUUCUGCAGAAGUAAUUACAGUUUUCUUCAUAUAAUUACUUUUUAAUUUCAUUAGAGAACAUAAUGGUGCAAUAUUUCAUAUUUUCAUUAUAGAAGGCUCCCCAAGACUUUAUUUAACAGUCAGAUUUGUUAUUUGGGCUGAGAAUCAGCUCACAGAUUAAGAAACCUACAUUUAGGUGUCUCACGGGGGUAUCUUUGUCUGAGCAGGGCAUCUAAGCUUCGCAUAUAGUCGGUGCAAAUCUGUCUUUGUAGUCAGUGGAGAUGUCUAAAGAUAUGCUGCUUGGCCUCUGUCUCUGGUUUCAGAAAGGGACAGUUUCCUUUAGCCCUGUGUCAUGUCUGCCAGCCCUGCGUAAGAUGUCUUUCAUACCGCAUUUCUUCUGACACUAAACCAUGUGUGCACGAGCAACUGAGUCAAGUUCCAUUGACUUUGUUGCCUGUAGCAGAAACUUCCUCACCUACUUCUUAUGCAGACACCUAAAUUUAGGUGAUUUGCUCUGCAGAUGGAAACUCCUGCUGACAGCCUAAGAAGUCCAAAGCAUGGAUGUGAAGCUGUGAACUCUUGACAGGUGUUGAGACCCCUGCCCAAGUGACUGUUAUAGACCAAAGACGAUACUGUAGGGCAUAGAAAUGCAUUAGAUGCUUGUAUUUAGGUGAAUGAAUCUAGCCAUCAGCAUCUUGGAACAGAGUAAUGGAACAGUCGCACUUUUCUUUUAAGUAGCUUACUUUGUAUAUAGAAAUAAAUAAUACUAAGAUUUUGAUUCUGAGCUUGUUCACUCCCUCCAGCAAGAUUUGUUCAUCUACAAAAGCAUUAUUCAAGCACAAUAUGAAGAAAAAAUUGAAGAUCAGGCUUCAAAUCUUUGUAAAUACGUAAAUGAUCAACUGACAGACAUUGAGUUUUUACAUAAAUGGGUAAAGAGAAAAAUCCUUGUUGACUUACAUAUUAAUCUUCACUAGAUGCCAGUUCUCAUUCAUAUAACUUCUUUGUGCAGACUGAUACAAUAUUUUACUUAAUGAAAAGUAAUCCACAGAAGUAUUGAAAAUAAGGAAAUAAAGAAAAGUGCUAAUAUAGAUUUAAAAGUGACUGUCUAAGGUGUCUUUGCAAAUUUGCAAUUAAGAGAACAUGGAUUACAUUGUACUUGGCAUAUUAACAACCAUAUCUGGGAAAACUUCUUAAAUUGUAGUGUGGUUAUUUCUAAUAAAAUACUUUAUAACAAUAUUUUAAUAGGCAAGAAACGUAGCACACUUCCUGUGUGUAUAAAUUAUUGACUGUUCUUGUCCCAUGUGUUUGUUUGAAAAUAGUAGUCAAUGAUCUUUAGGUAGUAAGUCACAGCCCAUGCCAACAUUAACACUCCCAAGCAAUCAUAUUGCAGCUAGUGAGCACUCCCUGCAAGGGAGAAAUAUGCAUAAAGCCUCAGUUUCAGGCUUCUGAUAUGAACAUAAAAAACCCAAAUAUUUAAAAAAUCAAUACAGCAAAAAAAAGUUAUAGAAAAGGAACAUGAGCUUAGUAUUUUUUUUUAAGUUCAAGAGCUUUUUAAUUUUCUUAAAUGAAAAAGAAGAGUAUAUAAAAGUUGUUUGGUUUGGUUUUGUAAUUGCUUGUGUCCUUUUGUUGCACAUCAAAGUUCUCAGUAAUUUGUUACACACUGAAUUGCAGAAAGAGGUUCAAAUUCAACAAAGCUACCAACAACAGUCAGGUGAUGCACUGGCUGUUCUCAGAGCAAAUACUGAGGUGGGCUUCAAUUCUUAAUGUGGUAGCAGACUGCUGGUCUGAGUAUUAAUAUGUCAUAAACUAAUUACAGAGAAUAGCUUUGCACUUCAAAAUCUGGAGAAGGGUGUAUUUGGAUUUUUUGUGAAGACUAAGCAUUUAAACUAUAUGGAAUAGAAACAAAAUAAUUAACACAAAAAUAUAGUUGUUUUUACAAGUAUUGUUUUUUCCCCCCCUUAUGCAGUUUAGCAUACUCAAGUACAGGUUUAGGUAAGUAACAUAGUUGCUACAAUAUGAAUGAGGUAUGUUAGUAGAUACCAGUGGAAGAAAGCAAAAAUUACAGGUUUUAAUUUCCUGACUAGUGAAAAACAAUUGACCACAAAGUAGUCAAGCAGUGUAGGAUUAGACCCAAAUAUGCAGUCAGUGCACACUUUUCCAUCUUAUUGAGGGUAGUCAAAUCAAAUGAAGGGAUGAGCAUGCUUUAAUUCACAGCAAAUGAAGGGACCUUGCUUUAAUUGACAGUCUGUGAUUGGGUCUGUUAGGAGGCAGAAACACAGUAAUCACAUAAAAUGCUCUUUGGUUCAGUAAAAAAUGAAAAUAUCUUGAUAAAUUUGGUAGUUGAACUCUAAGGCUACCUAAUAGAGAAUGGUGACCAGUUGUGGGCACUCCAGGUGGCUUUGUACUGCCCUCUAGGGACUGUCCCACUCACUUAUUAACAGAUUUCAGGAUGUAAUUGGAACAGUAAAAAUAAUCCAAAUUAGAAAGUAUAGAACUUAAAUUUCAUCUUUCUUCCCCCACAUGCAAAUGGAGCAUGCAAGUUUGUACUUAUUGACAAAAAAAAGUCAGUAUUUAAAAGAAAGAAAGAAAGAAAAGAGAGAAAAGAAAGAAAGGAAGGAAGAAAUAAAAAAAAUAAACCACUUAUAUGGAUAGUUGGGAAAGGUAGUGGGUAAAAAAAUUUAGCUAUAAUUAUUCUACUGUUGUUUGUACAUAGCCCAGUCAAGUGGAGAUGUAUAGUGGGAAGUGUGUGUAGUAUAUUAACAGCACAUACUGUAUAACACAGUAUGUAGAAAAUCAUAGAGAAUCCUGGAAGGAGAAAAGAACGUGUUGUUUUUACAGAAUGAAUGAUCUGCUAGACAUGUGAAGGGACAGGAGAACAGGUGCACUGGUGAAUGAGUUCAAACCAGCAUUAAUCAUGUGGAUGUUUCAGAGAACAGGGUAGAGAAAUGUGAAGCAAAGGAGGAAAGUUCACAGAAAAGAUACGAGGAACUGUGAGGCUGAGGAAUUUUAAAAAGAUGUGAGAGGAAAUCAGAAUGCUGAAAAGACUGAGCAAGUGACAGAACAUGAUAUGCAUUUCAAGAAUGUUGCAUAGCUUAAAGUGGGUGUUUGGAAGGCAAAAGCUAGGCUUUAGCAGUGAAGGAAAGGGUAGCUUCUGUAAAGAAAGAAACUACAAGAUUUAUUAAGACUUCACAGAGAGUAAAGAUGUUUAUUUUUUACAUUUGUUCUUCUUCAUUCCUGGAUAAUGAUAUGUAGCACCAUCACUUGAAGAAAGAAAUUCUGCUCCAAAACCAAGUGUAAAAUAGGGGGGUGGGGGGGGGGGGGGGGGGUGAGAAUUGUGGAAUGUUCCUAGCAAUUACUUUAAUAGUUUAAGCAGAGUUGGUUUAAAAGAGCGCUGUAGACUAUAUAGACUAUUUGAAGAAAAACUAUGUUCCUUUUAAAAUUAGAUAGAGAAACAUUCCUUUUGGGAAGUAGUCACUUCUGACAAAAAUUAAGGGAGUGGCAUUUGUCUCCUGGAACACUUCAUCAAUAAUGUAGACAUGUUUAUGAUGCAGCUGUGCUGACCUUGCUUUCUUGAUAGUCAAGGCAGAGAAAUAGGUAUUUUUUAGGACACAGUUCAUCUGAUCAAUGUUAGAUACCUACUUAAGGGUGAAUUGAGUUGUCCUCUGGACUCAUCUGACUUUCAACUAAAUCUCCACAGACUAUUAAAAAAGCAAAGUGUGACUAGCUAAAAUGUGAGUGUCUACAUGCGAUCAAGUACUGCUGCACAGACCAUCUAGAAUAAUGCAAACUUCAUUUUGUGUGUGAAAAGUUUUCUUUCCCAAGUCCAGCUCAUGUAAUCACUCCAUGGUGAAAAAUGCAUAUGAAUGCCAUGGAGAAUAUGGUAGCAGUCUUCUCACCAGGGGAUUGCAGGGUCAGGUUCCCUUUGCUUUGCUUUGUCUUUGGAAGAUCUUGCAUUACUCUUGGAUUCUUCUGGUCCAGCUUCAGCAACCAGGUAGAGAUUCGCCUGGUCCCAGGCACGUGUGUAGUUUCGUAGGUAGGGUGCUCUGAGAAAGGAGAACUAACUGAGGUUGAGUCCACUGUGGCUGAGGAAAUGAUUGAACCCUACUUCUUUCACUUCCUCAGCGAGUGCUACAGAUGUUAAUGUCUUACACAAGAGAUAGUAAUUUCUGCUAAUAUUAAUAUUUUAAAGAAGUUGACUGAUACUUAAUCACCUAACCUUGGAGAAUAGGUAUCUCGGUACUCCUGAAGGAAGAGCUCAAACACACUUUUGAGCUUAGUGUUUCCUAAUGGCCAGCCGUUGGCAGUGCACCACCUUGGAGACAUAGUUCUGUAUAAAGGGAGGCUGCACAUGUUGUUUUUCUUUGAAAGUCUUAUUUUUAUUUUUUGAUUACAUAAGAACUAAAUCAUCUAUUGUAGGUGCUCUUUUUUUAUCCUUUAAUGUAAUUUAAACACUUUGCUUGUGCAAUCAAGCAGAUGCAGAAAUAAAUGCCAGUAAUGCAAAGAUACUAUUUUAAUCGUUGAUUUUGUUCAUUCUGUACUUAUGCUGUAUUUUCUCCUUAUUUUAUUUCUUUUAUGUUUUAAAUACAUUCUUUGAUUUAAAAUAUAUAGGAUAUGCAAAUUUUUUCCAAAUUUCCUUUUUCUUUGCUGUGCAUUUGAAUUCUCUAGUAUUAUAGAUUAUGUAUUAGAUAGAACACACUUUUUGUUUAAGCAUUUGAAAUGUCAGAUACAGAAAAUUUUAUUUUGGAUACUAGAACAGAACUCUCGAAUGUAAAAUAUGCAUUAUGAUGUGUUCAAAUUACAAAAAAUAUUCUGUAGCUUUCAAAAGGUUUAUGAGGCUUAUGCAAAGUCUCACUGAAGAAUCUUUUCUUGUAAUAGAAGUAUUACAACAUAAAUGGAGAAGACACAGCAUGUUCACCAGGAAAACUGUUGAAGCUUUUAUGUAACAAACUACACAAGGAAGAGUCCAUAAUUGAAGACCUGGAGAGAAAACUGCAGGAAUACCAAAAAAAAAGGAAGGACUGAAAUGAUAAGCAAGUUCAAAGAAUGCAAUCAAAAAUGGAAGCUGAUGAGCAAGCUGGUCAAAAGUUGAUUGAAAUUCAAGAACAAAUGAAGGCAGAAUUUGAAAAUUAAAGACCAUGAGUUAAAAAUCUGUUUUCAGCACUGCAAGUAGAAGAAAAAGAGAUUAUAAUGAGCAGUCUGCCAAUGCAAAAUGAAACUGAAAUGAUAAUGUCCCUUGGAAAAGGAACAUCUUAUGAAACAGAAACAUUAAACAGAAGAAAGUACUUACUGACAAGUUUCAGAUUACAUAUGUGGUACCUGAGCAGCAAGCUGCUGAAAGAACCCUGACUGCUGAAACAGAGAAACUGAAGAAACAUAAAGAUCAAGAAAGGCAAACCACAGAAAGGAAGGAAGCUGAGCAAAGUGAUACAAGAUGGAAAAAGAAAUUACAAAUUCUACACAACAGGUUUAAUAUUAUUGCAUUGAUUGCAUUGAUAAAAUACUUCAGGCCUAUAGAUUUUCCAAAUUAUAUUUGGGAAAAUUAAGGUAGUUAUAUACAUUAUUAAGUUACCUAGUCAUUAGCAUUUCAGGAUGUAAUAGCUAGGUUUAAAAGAUUGGAAUUAAAUAUUAAUGGUCUGAAUAAUAUACUGUUAACAUGCUUGUAACAAUGAUAAACACUUCAGACAGGUAAUUUUGUAGGCUUGUGUUAAUAGUACUCAGAGUUCUUAAAAACAAAACUUGUUUUGUGUGCUGUUAGACUACAUUUUGUUUAAUGUCUUUCUUAUGGCAAUCUUGAAUGAGAUUUUAAGCUGUUAAUACUCUUUUUUUAGGCUAUUUGUUUCUCUUUGUCUUCUUUCCUAAUGCCCCUCUUUCCCAGAAUUCUUUUUCAUCUCGUUUCGUACUUCACCAUUUUCUGUCACUACACUUGCUCUAUCCCAGAAUCACAGUGCUUGCUUCUGGUUUUCAUGUGAUGGCAGUUCUCCUUUAUGCAUGCUUUUUUACUCAGCCAGUUUUCUCCUCUGCUCUAUCCAUCCUCUUUAGAAUCUUCAUCUUCCUUCUCUAUAUUCAGAAACAUUUUGGCUGAAAAAUGCCAAUCGUCGAAACCCACAAAUUCCCUCUAAUCAUCAAAUGUAAUGAACUUCUAGCAAAAGAACACGAAGGCUCCCAUGGAGCUCUGCUCAGGGUCAUGGAGACCGGCUGAGAGUUGUAGUGCUUCUAGGUCACACAGCCCCAGCACAACUGCUCGGGGCGUCGCUUUCUGAUUUGCCGUGAAGCUGUGACUGAGAUUGAAAACCUUGUAAAGCUAUGAAUUCCCUUGGUCUAAAGCUGGUCCUAGUAUAAAUCUUGCCCAUUGAAAAAGCCUUAUGCUGUUUUCUGGGGCAAGUAGCACUGGGACAGCCAGAUAUGCUAGGACUACGCCUAUACUAACAAAUUUUUAAUGGUGUAGAUACUCACAUUUGUCCUUGGGUCUUGGCUCUCUGUCAGCCUCGGUGUGUCUCUAUUGCUUCACUCAUAUUCUUUUUUGGAAUAGAGCAACCAGUUCCUCAAGACAAAACCCUAGAGCAGUUCUGGUACUGGUUUGUUCCCUAUAGGCAGUACAGAUGAGAUGGUACAUCCACGUCGCAUCAGACCACAUCUCAGAACACACAAUAUCUGUCUUUGGAAACAUGCUAUAAAAACACCUCUCUCAUAGGCCAUGACAUAGCCCAGUGCUAUUUUAGUUCGAAAACUCCCGACUAAGAAUAUCUAAAAUCCACACAUGUGCCCCAUGGGACCCAGCCAGGCCCAGUAUGAGCACAACUAGUCCACUCUGGAGGUCACUAGUACUGAUCAGUGUGGACAACAAGUUGUGCGGCAUGUCUUAGGUCUAUGAUUUUCCCCCUGCAGCAAAAUAUUUUAGUAGUGCAUAGCUUAUAUAGUGUGCUCAGCAUCUUUAUUGUCUGAAGAAACACGCAGGAUUUGCUAAGGCUGAACUCCACAACAUGCAAAUAGUGUGGAAAACCUUGGUAGCCUCCAUUCUAAUGAGGGCUGCCAGAGCUUCCAGAGCUAUGAACCUAGGAACUAGAGUCUGAAAGCUCUGGAACAAGAUGUGGAAGCUGUAGGGUUUACAGCCAGAGGUAGUUUGCAUGUGAGUGUUGCCUGGAAUGGAAGAGUGGGAAAGCCCUAGCAGAUACCAAAGGACUGUAAUAUGUUCUUGGUGGUAUCUUUGCUACUGUUGUAGGGAUGAAUCAGACACACUUUAACUUUAAAUUCAUGGAGUCCUGAAGGAAUCUAUUUAAUAAUGUAAGCAUCAUAUUUUGCUCUUUCCAAGAUUUUUUUUUUUCUUUUUUUUUUUCAGAAUUUCAAGUUUACUUCAAAUUUAUCUGGACUGAUACCAAAUUUUAAAGAACAAAAUUUCCCACCAACUGCACAUUCUACUGUAUUUCAGAUGGUCCUUUUCCUGUAUUUUUUUAAUCUACACAACACCAAAGGUGUGUAAAUGCAGUAAUUCCUGUCCUACAAAUGGUAGGUACAUCUACUGCACAGCAAACCCUCUGUAUUGUACUUCGUGCUUGUUUAGUUUGAUACAAUAUCUCUAAGGUCAGGGGAUAGUUUCUCAUUAAGUUCAGCAUUCAUUGAAAUAGGCCCCGAGUUAUCUUCUCAUCUGAAAAUGGUGAGAAUAGACUACAUUGAUCAUACAAUGACAUUGUUAUCAGUGUUUUUAGUAAUAAUGCAAGUCUCCGUAGAAAAAUAAAGUUAUAUUAUUCUUACCAGGUCUACUUUAAUGAGUAUACACUGUGUUACCUGAAUAGGUAGGUACUGGAGGAUUUUUUUAACAGAGCCCAUUAAAAUUACUUGCUUAAAUAAGAGAUUAAUUUGUCAUUUUAUACAUAGCUAAUCAUUGUAACAUCAUAGAAACAGGUUCGUUUUGAUGAAAAGCCAAUUAAUGAUGAGAUCUAAAUAGACUACAGGAACAAACUUAUUUUUGCUUCAUUUUUUUCUGAAAGUUUAUUAAAGAACCAUGCAAAUUAUCUUUUCAUGACACUGUGACUCUCUGGGCAGCAGAUAUUUGUCUUUAAUUUAGCCUGUGUAUUGUUAUUAUUUUGUUAUACUCAUAUUUUUCAAAAAACAACUAUAAAAUAUGUGAGCCCUCUUGUGGCCAAAAUACCUUCUAUGUGUCCUAUGAAAUCAUCAAAGACUGUGUGGUCUGGUGAAUUAAGUCCCUGAAAAAUAUCUAGAGAACAUUGAAUGUAAAUUUGUUUAGUUAGUACUUCUAAUGUCAGUUCUUCAUUUGUCAUAACAACUCAAUUCAUUUAAGUUUUCCUUUACAUCUUUCUUAAUUUACUGUUUGUAGCUAAAAUGCCCAUGAAGUUACCAGACACAACCAGGGCACAGAACUCCAAGAUUUCUAAUAACUUUGUCCAUUGUGGUAUAAUUGCCAUGAAAGGUGCUAGUUAAUGUGAAAUGUUUUUUUGUGAAGAUCUUUUUUACGAUACAGGAGUUUUUUACUUUAAAAUCUUCUACAUAUCAAUGAUUUAAGUCAUAGGACCAAACAUGACUUUCAGUCAGAGUUGUCUUUUAGUUAUUACUGAACUGGAGCUGAACUCCGUGCUGAUUUUGAGGCAGAAGAGAUGAUAUUUCAUUGCCACUUAUCACUCUUUCCUCACAAAUUCAAAGGAAAAUAAUCCAAAUCAUCUGAACUACAUACUCUUAUUUAAGAAAAAUUCUUAUCACCUGAUACAAUAAUUUUCAUCUUUUUUGAGGUUUUUUGCUUCCCUUCAAUAAAAAGGUCUGUUUCUGCAGUGUAAUACCUUUCUUUGUAAAGAAAGAGGAAAAAUUUUACAGCUGUUCAAAUUACCUCAUGAACUGGACCUUGAGAAAUGAGGUAGCAAUUUUCAUUGAUUAGAUAAAAUAUCAGCACUCUGUGGUUAAAGUUAUAGUAAAUUUACAGACAGGAAAAGGAUGGUAUUUUAAAUUCAAAGUGUUUAUUCUACUCCUCACAGAUUUUUCCACUGCAUAAGGUCUGUUACUUUACUUAUACAUUUAAUGUAAUAUAUUAAUGGCAUUUUAAUGUAUGUAUGUCCCAUGGAUUGCUGAACGCUUACUGGUUAUUUGUUCUAAUUUUGCUGAUCGAUAGCGUUUGCUUAAUUAUUUCCCCUGAGGCCUUAAAAAGAUCCAUAAAAGUACAUUUCUUUGUACUUUUUUUUCUUUGGCUAUUUUAAAGUUGUGCUGGAGAGUAUUGGUUGCAAUAUCUUAACCUUCUUCCAUAUCACAGUGUUUGUGAUACUUGUGUAAAAUUAUUUAUUUAUGACACACCUAUAUAUAUAUGUUAAAGAAAUGUAAACUAUCAACACAUCUAUUUAUAUUUUUCUGGUUUAAUCUGAUCUUUUAUUUUUGUUUUUCUGCUAUUUUUAUUCAUGUUUAUCACAAUCUUUUCAGUAGUA